rnacentral:rRNA from 1 species
GAUGAACGCUGGCGGCGUGCCUAAUACAUGCAAGUCGAGCGAACAGAUAAGGAGCUUGCUCCUUUGACGUUAGCGGCGGACGGGUGAGUAACACGUGGAUAACCUACCUAUAAGACUGGGAUAACUUCGGGAAACCGGAGCUAAUACCGGAUAACAUAUUGAACCGCAUGGUUCAAUAGUGAAAGGCGGCUUUGCUCUCACUUAUAGAUGGAUCCGCGCCGUAUUAGCUAGUUGGUAAGGUAACGGCUUACCAAGGCAACGAUACGUAGCCGACCUGAGAGGGUGAUCGGCCACACUGGAACUGAGACACGGUCCAGACUCCUACGGGAGGCAGCAGUAGGGAAUCUUCCGCAAUGGGCGAAAGCCUGACGGAGCAACGCCGCGUGAGUGAUGAAGGUCUUCGGAUCGUAAAACUCUGUUAUCAGGGAAGAACAAAUGUGUAAGUAACUGUGCACAUCUUGACGGUACCUGAUCAGAAAGCCACGGCUAACUACGUG